rnacentral:rRNA from 1 species
AUUGAACGCUGGCGGCAGGCCUAACACAUGCAAGUCGAGCGGAUGACGGGAGCUUGCUCCUUGAUUCAGCGGCGGACGGGUGAGUAAUGCCUAGGAAUCUGCCUGGUAGUGGGGGACAACGUUUCGAAAGGAACGCUAAUACCGCAUACGUCCUACGGGAGAAAGCAGGGGACCUUCGGGCCUUGCGCUAUCAGAUGAGCCUAGGUCGGAUUAGCUAGUUGGUGGGGUAAUGGCUCACCAGGGCGACGAUCCGUAACUGGUCUGAGAGGAUGAUCAGUCACACUGGAACUGAGACACGGUCCAGACUCCUACGGGAGGCAGCAGUGGGGAAUAUUGGACAAUGGGCGAAAGCCUGAUCCAGCCAUGCCGCGUGUGUGAAGAAGGUCUUCGGAUUGUAAAGCACUUUAAGUUGGGAGGAAGGGCAGUAAGCUAAUACCUUGCUGUUUUGACGUUACCGACAGAAUAAGCACCGGCUAACUCUGUGCCAGCCGCCGCAGUAAAAC